UUGGAGGGCAAGUCUGGUGCCAGCAGCCGCGGUAAUUCCAGCUCCAAUAGCGUAUAUUAAAGUUGUUGCAGUUAAAAAGCUCGUAGUUGAAUUUCGGGGUUAGUAGGUUGGUCAUGCCUCUGGUAUGUACUGAUCUCACUGAUUCCUCCUUCCUUAUGAACCGUAAUGCCAUUAAUUUGGUGUUGCGGGGAAUUUGGACUGUUACUUUGAAAAAAUUAGAGUGUUUAAAGCAGGCUAACGCUUGAAUACAUUAGCAUGGAAUAAUGAAAUAGGACGUUCGAUCUUAUUUUGUUGGUUUCUAGGAUUGACGUAAUGAUUAAUAGGGAUAGUUGGGGGCAUUAGUAUUCAAUUGUCAGAGGUGAAAUUCUUGGAUUUAUUGAAGACUAACUACUGCGAAAGCAUUUGCCAAGGAUGUUUUCAUUAAUCAAGAACGAAAGUUAGGGGAUCGAAGACGAUCAGAUACCGUCGUAGUCUUAACCAUAAACUAUGCCGACUAGGGAUCGGAUGAUGUUAAUUUUUUAAUGACUCAUUCGGCACCUUACGGGAAAC
rnacentral:rRNA from 1 species